rnacentral:lncRNA from 1 species
CACGACGCCAGACCUGCUACCGAAAACACACUGCCAAGCAUGAUGCUGUUUAUCAAAACAAGAUACCUGAGGUGGGAGGAAGGUCACUCCUUGAACUUGAGUUCCAGUAGCGACUGUGAAAAGCUAGGACACAGAGGCAAGAUGAGGCCAAUAGGCCACCCUUCCCCACCCAGGACUUGAAACUUCUGUUAAAAGCAGUUAUAAGAAACAGUUAUGAGAAAAACAACAUCCUGGCCACCCAACCAAAGACUGCCAAACCAAGAAAUGGGCCUCAUACAGAACUGGGCAAAAGCCAGUGUGUGGAAGUCUAGAGCAGGGAGACGUGGAGUGUCUCUGUGAGCCAGUGACUAUCCACAAGCUGUUUGCUACCAGCUCAUGACAAGUAAGUGCAGAAAUUGAAAGUAAUUAUCUAAAAACACUUAUAGCAAUUUAACAUGGUAAUUUUAUUUCUGUUGACUCUAACAAUAAAAAAUUAGAG